GUCUUUAGUUCAUUUUUGUUGCCUCUACAACUGAUGGAAUUUGUGUCCUGUCAGUGUAGAUUCUCAUUCAGCUCUGUACCUUGGUGAAUUCAGCACUUCUCAGUCUCUGAUCUGUUUGCCUUUCAAACGAAACUUUGAUUCUAACUUCUCAAUUUCGACUUCCGCCAACCCUUCCUUUUCCUUGCAUGAAAUCCCAGAAAGAUCAUUUCCAAUCUGGUUUCUUUUUGGGUAGGUUCUAGAUAAUGAUUUUAAACAAGAAGACUUAAUUGCUUUUCCACGUGCCUCAAGAAAAUUCACAUUGUACAAAAAAAAUCACAAUGUACAAAAUCUUUCCCAUUCAUGCCCCAGUUCAUCUUUCUAAAUUUAUUUGCUUUUCUUCAGAAACAUGAAAUAAUUUAACCAUUUUCAUACAUAUUUAGUGCAGUCACUUCUCAUUGUUUGUGGUAAUGUUCUGCAAGUUGAUGAGAAUACUGACUUAGCAAAUACCGUACCAUUUGCUCCUAGGGGAAGUACAGCCUUGGGCUCCUGGAAGACUGCGAUCACAUUAUUUUUAACUGAUUAAUAUGUACCUUGUUUUUAUGUGUUUGAAGACAUGUUAUGGAAUAUAUGGUUGAUUCGUUAACAUUAAAUUCAGAAACAACAACACUAUAACACAUGCCUGAGCAAAGCUUACCUAAUAAUGUGUUCUUUCUGUAACGCAAUCAGUCUUCUUGUGUGUAGAAAGACCAGACAGCUCUUGAGCACUGUGCCUGGGAGUAAUUUUAAACGGGCAAGAUCAACAAAAAUCACAAAAGUGAGAAAAACACGCUACAAAUGUCACUGGAAAAAGGCCACUUGUGAACAAGAUGAAAACCGAAACAAGAAGACAGAAUGUCUCCUUGUUUGACCUCCCCUGGUGUUGGUUUGAAAGCUCCAGAGCUUCCCAGGUGUCAUCUGAAACUGUCCUCCCAACCUGGAGAGCAGCGAGGGACAGAAGAAUGAAGCCACUGCAGUCUCAGAUGCUUUUCCUCACCUUUUCCUUAUCCUGCGUUUUGCAUGUGACUCCACUCCUGCUGUAUGUUCUGCCAUUCUGCAGAAAAGUUUCCAAAAAGAAGCCUUACAGUUGUUAACUAUGAUGAACAAGGUUAGUCCUCCCAAUUCUUAAGAUAUUCGGGUUUUCUCUAUUCCACUUCAUUCGAUUGAUUUGGUGCUUGGUUUUGCCUAUUUUACCCUUCUUUCCAAUCACAAAACUAUCUGCUUUAGUAACUGUAAAAACAACAACAAAAAAACUCAAUAUACGUGUGACUUACAACAGUUGAUUGACUCCUGCAUUCGCCGGGACGUAUGAGAGCCAGUAGUGCUUCAGAAAGGGCUAAGUUCCAACUGGGCAUUAAUGAGAUAAAACACAAGACAGGUGCUUCCUGUCUAGCGGAGGACGCAUACCUAAGAAGACAAUCACACAAAGAAGGGUAUCCUUACAAACUGUGACAAUUGCCCUGAAGGUUAUUUAACCCUGUAAAUCACAGGGGGAAAGCCCUGGGGGGGGGGGGCAGGAAUGGUUUCUUUGAGGAGGUAACACUUGAAAUCUAAGUGCAGGAAGGGGAUAUGGUGACCAGCUGCAUAUCAUAAAAGAAGUAUAUUAAAAGACCCACAAAAGGAAUGGAUGAGAGUCUGAGGAAGUGAGAGAUGACCAGGAGGUUCACGG
ensembl:lincRNA